ensembl:lncRNA
GAGAGCAGUGUAGAUAGAGGGCUGCCGCAGCUGCUCACUUUCAAACUAGGGAGUGAACUUCUACACUUUUCCAGCCUGGAGUUCCUUCCAGGCAGAGACGCCAGGGAGGAACAUCCAGUGAGACCAUUUGGAUGAGCACACGCACAAUCGACUAAUCUCACAGACUUUGGUCAAACUCUGUGGCAGAAGCAACAGUGAUGGAGGAGCCUGGCAUGCUACAGUCCAUGGAGAGUCGGGCACGACUUAGAGCCUGAAGAGCAACAGAUGAAUCUCAGUCUCGCACACACUGGAGGAUGCACUGCUUUAGCCCAGUGGGUCUCAACCCUUGCUGCUUCAUAGAGCCACCUGGGAGCUUUCCAAGGCCUGGGGCAGGGCCUCUUAUCCAUUCUUCUUAAGAGCACUCAGGAUAAUGCUGUGUGCAGCUUGCAACACCUUCGUGUGGCAUGUGGGAUCCCCAACCAGUGAUUGAACCCGUGCCCUGCACAGUGGGAAUGUGGAGUCUUAACCACUGGACCACCAGGGGAGUCCCUAAAAAUUAAUUUUUUAUUUUUUAUCAAGGUAACAUGAGUACAUGGUUAAAAAAUAAAAAUUGGAAAGUAUCACACCCAGUGCCAGAAUCCAACUCUCUAGAGUCAAACAUCGUAAACUCUAAGUCUUCCUUUGGGCAUUUUCUACUGUAUUUAAAAAAAAUCUGUUUAUAAUGCUGUUUCUCUCCCCCCCACCCCAGUUUUAUUGUGAUCUAAUUGACAUACAUCACAGUAUAACUUUCAAAUGUACACCAUGAUGGUUUGACUUACAUGUAUUAUGAAAUAUAUUCUCAAUGAAAAAUUUUCUUCUACAUUAUCUACUGACUUCCUACUUAAAUAGAUUUUGCUCUCCUUUUCCAACCUGGCAACUCCCUCUACAACCACUGCUCUCUUCACGCUCUUAAUUCAGUUAUAUUGUGAAUAUCUGGGGUUUGCCUUACUGUGACUAUGUACAUACUUUCCAUGGUUGAGUUACAUGAGGUGCAAUUAUUACAUCUUAUUUCUUAUAUGAAUAGUAGAAACAAUGUUAUGUGUUCAUCCCCUGUUUCCUUUUCCCGGGAAAGCAGGAGAUGACAUCUCCCACCCUCCUUUGUGGCUGGGACCAUGUGACUAAGUUCUGGACAAUGGAAAUGCAAGCGGAAGUGAUACAGCCCUGAUCAGCCCCAGGCAGUCCUAGGCCUUCCCCACUCCCUGACCCUCCCCUCCCGGAAGCUGGAGCAAAGGGCACUGAAAUGGUGGCACUGCAAGAUGGAGGGGGGCUGGGCUCCUGAGUCCCCACCUGGAGGAGAGCUGCCAACCAGUUUCAGCCUGUGACAUGGAUGAGGUAUAAACCUUUGUGUGUUAAGCCGCUGAGAUUUUAAGAUGUGUCUGUUAUGGCAGCUACCAUUUAAUACCUAAUACUUCCAGCUUUUUUUUUUAAAAUUGUUCUCCAGUUUGCUUAAUAUCCUUUCAAUCAUCCUAAUUCAUCUCCAAACGCUCCCACAGAAUUACAAACCUCCUCUCAGUAAGGGUGAACUCCCAGUCUCUUCAGCUGUGCUGUCUGCCCUUCCCCUCCCCACCCCUCAACUAACCCUUUGCCUAGUUGAUGGAACUUCAGGCUUUUUCUCUGCCUCACAGAGAGGCAGGAGGCUGGUUGGAAGGGGAUACAGGUUAGAUUUAAGGAGAGGUGGCCUAACGUAAUGGUUAAGACCUCAAGCUUUUCCAAUUUAGUAGUUCUAUGAC